UGAAAAAUAAAAAAUUAAUAUUACUUUAAAAUUUUUAAAAUAAAUUUAUCUAAAUCGAUAAUUCUUAUAAAAUGAAAAAAGUAUUAAUUAUGAGUAAAAAUGGUUCUCUCUACGUAAGAUGAUGUCGUCACAGUACAGCGGUAGAUAAGGCUGUCUCAACUCCCAAGUCAAGCAUCGAUCAACCGUUAAACAAAUCUAAUCAAGUUCCUUGCUCUCUACUUUUUCUUUUUUAAAGUGGACAGGAAAUCCAAGAAAAUAAACUAAAAAGUUGGGGGAAAAAAGAGUGCGAAACAUUAAUUAAUGAAAAAGCCAAGAAGUGCUUGCCCCCUUGACGGUUGGCCUUCAGGCAUUACCAAAUCAGGGAAUGUGCCCGCCUACCCUGUCAAUUCUCUUUCCUCUUCUUCUCCUCAAGGGACAUGCACGAAUUGCUCAUCCAUUGACUAACUGCGAAUAACUAGAAUGCCGCUUUAAUGACAUGCCACUACUAUGAUUAAUUAGUGCUACAGCUACGUAUUUGUAUUGCUUCCGAGACAUAACAGUAUCUCUACGUAUAUUCCUUUUGUCACGUAGCUACUUCAUAAUGUUGGAAAUUAUACCUUGCUCCAGUUAAUGCCAACCGGUUGAAAAUGGCUCGUUAUGCAUCUUUUCUUUUAAAGCUGUGAGUAAGCCAAAAAGCUUUGGAAUUGAUCAUGUCAGAGCCAUCUCAUGCAUGCUGAAAAAGUAGGUAAGAUUUUAUUUUAUUUUUCUUAUUUUUUAAUAAAUAUAUAGCACCAAAGCAGAACUCUUGUUUUUGCUGGGAAAUGGCCAAAUGGGUACCCUUUUGUCUAUUUUUCGGAUGCAAAUCAUCUGCCGAUUUCGGCUUGCUGUCACUUUAAUGGUGCCAUAUGCAUAUGACAAAUAAAAUAGUUGAAUUGAUUAAAUUUCCGUGGGGAUCUGGGAGGCUAAGGAAGCAUAGUAAUAAUAGUGCCUCACAUGGGGGUUGUUUGCGUCACAUGGUCAAUGAUGUUAUCUUACUUAAUAUGCAAACAACGUUUUUAAAUGUAAACCCUAAUUAUUCACUCACAUUGACGUUCAUAGAAUCAAUGCGCAUGACAUGCUUAUUUUGGGCUAGUAGGGAAGGUGCGUGCUUAACUGAGCUUCUUCUUUCUUCUGAAUUGAAACAAGACACAAUGAAAGGGAAAUUCUCGGUUAAUGUCUUUUUAUCACAAGAAAUGCAUGGAUGAAUAUUGAAAUCCUUGCAUAUAUAAAACCCUAACACGAAAGGACAAAUCCUGCAUGUGAAACUUGGUCAGCAAGAGCACUCACUUUAUGGCCUGGUUUCUCUAUUUAUCCCUCUUCCUCUGUUUGUGAUAAUGGUGAGUCCAUGAGAGCACGCUUACUCAUUAUGUCGCUUGGAAAAAUUUCCAUUGCUUUAAAGGGAUUUUAAUGCUUGACUUCAACCCAAGUAAGAGUUUGUGUCCAGGUCAAUAACACCAAAACCAACAUGCUUUUCUUACUAGUCAGUCUUGUUAUCCAUUAUGAGUCUCCUAUACUUUUAAUUGCUUCCUGCAGCCCAUCGACUAUUUAAAUCCCCAGGUAAAUUUUCAAAUUCUACCUUCUUCCUCUUCUUCAAUAAUCAUCUAAAUCACAGGCUGGUUCUCGCAGCUAGAGAAUUAAGCUGAGCUUUGGUUAUUAUCGUUAUGGCCAGCUAAAUUUCAAGAAAAGAAAAUAGCCAUUCGAAGGGUUAAUACAUACUUCUGGAGGAGUCCAUUUUAGUCCUUUUUUCUUUUUGCAGAGAUCAAUUUGGCAACUAGAUGUUGACGUUGAGGCAUAUUCCUGAACAUUUUCUGGCCUUUUUGAUUCACUGGCAAGCACGUUCACCUGUUCAGCAACAUGAAAGGCUGCCGCAUUGGAGUAGCUGACUUCCUUGGAAGAAUCCUCGUGGCUAAGCUGAUACGCAACAAAUUUGUCAAGGACUCGCCAAUCGGUUACUUGAUCCACAGCUUGCUCACCAUUGUUAUGGUAAAGUGAGCUCAAAUUUUGGUGAUGUUGUUCAUCCUGUGUAAGAGUUGAGGACUGCAGGGUACUUCCAUUGUUGGUAUCAUAACCACCAUAUGGGAGUCUGGAGUUGCAGUUGGCACUUGCAGCUGACUGUGGAACUUUGGGGCUUUCCAGCUGGGGAAGCUGGAGGAGUAAAGGGUCAUGAGGCAUAUUAUAUUGCAAUGUCUCAAACUCUUGCUUGCAAGGAUAGUGGUGGAGGUAUGAUGCGUAAGGUUGAGUAAUUCGCCUUGGAGAAUCCAUUUCUGGCAUGAAGCAGACCUGCUCAUCGUACCAACAUGGCGACUCAUAUUCUCCAACUUUCCUGAUUGUUGGCAUUUUCUUCUUGAACACCCUGCAUACUACCCACCCUUCUUCCUGGUGCAAUCACAACAUAUAAUUUCAUAUUAGCCUCACUAAAUUUGAACUUCAUCGAAUAAAUGUUUACUCACAUGUGGAAUUCAAUAAUGUGCAUUUCUUAUUGUCUUUAUGAAC